CAGUGCUGAACCCAGAACAACUCAGCUGAUCGCACGGUCUUGCACCGGCGACGUGUCUUUCAAGUGUCUGCCUUAUCAACUUUCGAUGGUAGUGUACCUGACUACCAUGGUUGUGACGGGUAACGGAGGAUAAGGGUUCGACUCCGGAGAAGGGGCCUGAGAAAUGGCCACUACGUCUAAGGAUGGCAGCAGGCGCGCAAAUUACCCACUCUCAACGCGAGGAGGUAGUGACGAGAAAUAACAAGGCCGUUCUCACAUGAGGCCGGUUAUUGGAAUGGGUACAAUUUAAACCCUUUAACGAGUAUCUAUGAGAGGGCAAGUCUGGUGCCAGCAGCCGCGGUAAUUCCAGCUCUCAAAAUGCAUAGAAUUAUUGCUGCGGUUAAAAAGCUCGUAGUUGGAUCUGUGCCGACUGGCCGGUCCACCCGCUGGGUGCGCACUGGUUCGGUUGGCUUUUCCGCCGGAGUGCCUGGCGUUGGUGUGCUCGCGAGGGUGUGCCAGCGCGGGUCCGGCAAGUUUACUUUGAACAAAUCAGAGUGCUUCAAACAGGCGUCUCGCCUGAAUGUUCGUGCAUGGAAUAAUAGAA
rnacentral:rRNA from 1 species